AUCCUCGGGGUACUUCAAGUUCUAGUAAGUAUCUUUUGAGGUUUCAAAGAGAUUCAAUUUGCAGUCUUCUAUUUUGUGCUUCAUAGGAGGGUCAAAGUUCCGUUUAACAUGUUUUAUAUACAAAGAUUAUCUGUAAGUUCACAGAUUCAAAGGUAUGGGCCAAAUAACAUCUUUAUAUUUGCCCCUGCAUGGGGUUGGGUGUGCGUACAAAUUACACUAUUGAAAA
rnacentral:misc_RNA from 1 species